rnacentral:misc_RNA from 1 species
CUUAUGAAGUCGAACUCGUCGACGGUGAAGAAGGCGUGUCGCCGGGACAGGCCUGCGUGUUCUACGAUGCGCCUGCGGGACAGGCGCGCGUGCUCGGCGGNNUUCAUCAGCGCCGCGCCGCGCGACCUUGUGUCAGUGCCGCGUCAGCGCGAAGCCCUUGCCGGAUAACGUCUGGUCCUUCAAGAAUACGGGACUUCCGGCCGAUCGUGCCGGAC